rnacentral:rRNA from 1 species
AACGAACGCUGGCGGCGCGCUUAACACAUGCAAGUCGAACGAGAAGGCGUAGCAAUACGCUUGUAAAGUGGCGAACGGGUGAGGAAUACAGUGGGUAACCUACCCUCGAGUGGGGAUAACCCGCCGAAAGGCGGGCUAAGUACCGCGUACGCUUCCGAUCUUGCGGGAUCGGAAGGAAGCUGUCCCUUGGGGAUGGCGCUCAAGGAUGGGCUCAUGUCCUAUCAGCUU